UACGGGGGGAGCAAGCGUUGUUCGGAUUUACUGGGCGUAAAGGGCGCGUAGGCGGCCACCGCAAGUCGACUGUGAAAUCUCCGGGCUUAACCCGGAAAGGUCAGCCGAUACUGCGGGGCUAGAGUGCAGAAGGGGCAACUGGAAUUCUCGGUGUAGCGGUGAAAUGCGUAGAUAUCGAGAGGAACACCUAUGGCGAAGGCAGCUCUCUGGGACGGUACUGACGCUGAGACGCGAAAGCAUGGGGAGCGAACAGG
rnacentral:rRNA from 1 species